UGCAAAUAGGAAAAAACUUAGGCCUUUCUAGUCUUUGUACCUUUUUUCUCUUGCUUUAUUGCACAGGGCAGCCGAUACAGGGUUCAACAGAAGAGCCUCGCCUCCCCGGUUUCCAGCCUUGAGCGGGGAUUCUGUAUUUCACCAUUCAAUAGAAGUGGCUACACCAGUUUGCAUUCUCAGCAACAGUGCAAGAGAGUUUCUUUAUCUCCAUGUCCUCGCCAAGACUUGCUGGUUCCUGUGUUUUGGAUUCCAGCCAUUCUGACAGCUCUCUGUGUUUGGAGAUUCAGCGACAUCUCCUGCUCCUGAAGUAGUGGCCUCACGAAGAUGUGGUCCCAUGGCCCCUGUUCCCCAGGACCUGGCACCUCAGGGUUGUCUCCUGUGCCUUACCAGCCUUCAGGCCAGUCACCUGCAAUGGCACCCUCUGCCUAUUGUGGGCAGGGUUUCAUCCCUCUGGUGGUGGUGGGCCAGUCUGGAGUUGCCUUGGACUUGAUUUGGGUCAGACCAGAUCUCUGCUGGGCCCACAGUCGAACUGGCAUCUCGGUCCGGGCUGCCUGCAUGCUGCCAGGCCUGUGGUGCCGCCAUGGAUGGGCUCCUGCUGAAGGCAUGCAGAGCACAGGUGCAGACGCAUGGUGUUAGCAAGGUUUGUGCCCGGUCUGCUGUGGGAGGGGCCGCUCUGGGAGGCUUGUGAGACUGGAAACGAGGUGCACGGGGUCUGCAGGCCGCUGCGGCAGGGGAGGGAAACGGCGCCCACCGGCUCUUUGGUGUUUGGAGAAGUUUUCUGAAGACCCCUGCCCUUGCAGCACACGUUCUGGGCUUAGUAAACAACCACCAGGCAUUUUUCAAACUGCUGUUUCUAUGCUGUAGCUCACUGGGGCUGUUUGUCCUACGGUUUCUUUAAGGUCAAGGGCUCAGUCUCUGACUGCGGUCUGCCUCUCUCAGAGCUAAGCCCCCUGCCUGUGAGAACUGGGGAGGUUAAGCCUCCUCUAGUUUCAAAGCCACUGUAUUUUCUAAAAUUUUUCCUGCCCCCUGAGAACUGUCUGCCCAGAGAGCACAUGAAGGGAGCCCAGGGUGCA